rnacentral:lncRNA from 1 species
UUGGUCCUCACCAUUACCCCUUCAUACCCAUCUACUACCCCUUACCUACCCCAGGGCCUAGCCCAGUCAUGGCUAGUCCUCCCCAGACUCUCCCUUCAGGUCCUCAGGACCCUACAAUGCCCACAGUCUACCCACCCCACCACUACCCUCAGCCAGUCACCUGCUCUCCCUCUGCCCAUACCAUCUGUAGCUAUGACCCAUAUCCCGUGGAUGUGCCACACUACCAGCCACACCAUCCAUAUCCUCUCUACCUGACGCCCAGCCCCUCUCUGACCACCCCGGCCCUUCCUUCCACGGGUACAGCUCUGCCUGGUGCUACUCAACCACCCCAGACCUCACCAACCACCCCCUCACCCUCCUCCAGGACCAUAUCUACCACUACUACUCUCACUCCUUGGAUGUCCAUCCUCACCCCUACUCUCCCCCCUCAGCCCUCCCUCUCUCCUGGGCUCUCCCCUCGGCCAUCCCUCCGCUGUCUAGCAGGACAGAUGAUGGUGUCGCUGCCCUCUGCUCUCCUGGACUCCAUCCAGGUCAAAGAUCAGCUGAAUGGCUGGGUGUCUAUCUCCAGUGCCCCGGCGGCUUGUAGAUACAUCCUGCAGAUGAGUAAGGGUGGUGGAGUGAUCCUCCAUUCCCCUCUCCCUGCCUGCCACAGCCAGGCUAUGGCCCUCAACCCACACCAGCUCUCCCUCCCCCUGAAGUUUUGGGACACAGUCCUGGGGCAAUACAGAACUCUGGAGCUCCAUUGCCCGUCAACUGUGACCCCAUCACCCCACACCACUACCACGACCCACACCAGGCCUCCCACUCCCCCUAAGCCACACGUCUUCUGCUCUGCUCGCCACAUGAGGGUGGAGCUUCCCCCAGGUCCCAUAUCUGGAAUCGUUGUCAAGGACAUCGAAGGGAAUGAGAUGAGCCUGAUGGAUGCCCCAAAGCAUUGUGGGUAUGUGGCAAGCAAGGGCAAGGAUGGCAUGAUCACCCUGAACCGCCCCUUCAACUCCUGUCACAUGACUGUCCAGGGUAAAGAGCACCGCAUGGAUGUGAUUUACUCCACGUUGAACGGACAAAAAGGGAAGGCCCAGUUGUCCUGUCCAGUUUCCAUACCAGUUUCUCAUCAAGAGUGUAACCUUCCCAGUGACCAGCGCCUCCCCUGCGGCCGCCGCCCUCUAUCCCAGGCAGAGUGUCUCUCUCUGGGCUGCUGCUACAGCACCAAGCCCUCUGCCUGCUACUACUCCAUGGAUGAAUGCACAUUGGACCGCCACUUUGUCUUUUCGGUGCCCGCCUCCCUCACGGACCCCCCCUCUGUCCCCCGCCUUGCUCACUGCAGCUGGCAACCCCACCUGCGCCCCUCAGAGGGUGACUGCAGACUACGCCCUGUUCAAGAUCCCACUGGGUGGCUGCGGGGCCCACAGAUACGCGAGUGGCCCCUAAUUAUCUUCUUGAGGUAGGCCAAACGGUAAUCUACAUGGUGGAGAUCAUCAACACGGUCCAGUCAAUCACCCUCGACUAUGGGACCAUCACCAGAGACUCUCCUAUCAGACGUGCAGUACAGUAGCUUCUACCCCCAGUACCACCGGCCCCUGCAGAUGCUCUUGGGUAAACCCUUACACCUUGAGGUGCGUCUGCUCAACCCCCCCCAGAUGACAAAGUGGUCCUGCUGGUACACUACUGCGUGGCCUACCCCAGAUCAGGACAGACUGUCUGGGUACUCCUCUAUAAUGGAUGUCCUAACCAUCUGGACCCGGCCUCUCAGAAGUCUCACCCAUCUCCUCCACCCCCACCCCUUCCACCAAGGCCAGAUAUGAAGGUUCACCAUCUCCACCUUCCAGUUCCUCACCUCUGGACAGACCCAGACAUUGGAGGACCAUGAAGAGAUCUACUUCAUGUGUUCUACUGAAGAGUGUUCGCCGCUGGACGGCAGCCUGUGUGUAGAGGGAUGCUUUGGCCAGUGACUAGAAAAGAUGGACAGAAAGCAAUAGUCAUGGAAGAUUAACUGGCCCAAGGCUGCUCGUUCACUACUAAUAAAACCCCUUAAAAGGAGACUGUGUGUUUCUUGCUCCCAGGCAGUCUAGUCUAGUUUGGAUGGCAUGAAGCUGACUCCACGAGUGUUGUACUCAGUUGUUUAUGUUCACACUGACUCCGCCUAUGGAGGUUCUAGACAACGGCAUGAAUCAACAUUCUGGAUAUCCAAUAUUGCUCCAUACAUUGUUUUGAAUAUAGGUUAGUAUUUAGAUAAGUUAGCAGACCUCUUCCAUAUUGCACAUACAUACAUGCAUACAUAAUAUCAGCCUAUAGUCAUUAAUUC